GAUGAACGCUGGCGGCGUGCUUAACACAUGCAAGUCGAACGAUGAAGCCCAGCUUGCUGGGUGGAUUAGUGGCGAACGGGUGAGUAACACGUGAGUAACCUGCCCUUAACUCUGGGAUAAGCCUGGGAAACUGGGUCUAAUACCGGAUAGGAGCGUCCACCGCAUGGUGGGUGUUGGAAAGAUUUAUCGGUUUUGGACGGACUCGCGGCCUAUCAGCUUGUUGGUGGGGUAAUGGCUCACCAAGGCGACGACGGGUAGCCGGCCUGAGAGGGUGACCGGCCACACUGGGACUGAGACACGGCCCAGACUCCUACGGGAGGCAGCAGUGGGGAAUAUUGCACAAUGGGCGCAAGCCUGAUGCAGCGACGCCGCGUGAGGGAUGACGGCCUUCGGGUUGUAAACCUCUUUCAGUAGGGAAGAAGCGAAAGUGACGGUACCUGCAGAAGAAGCACCGGCUAACUACGUG
rnacentral:rRNA from 1 species